rnacentral:rRNA from 1 species
UACGUAGGGUGCGAGCGUUGUCCGGAGUGACUGGGCGUAAAGCGCGCGCAGGCGGCCCGCGAGGUGUCCUGUGAAAGCCCCGUGCUCAACGCGGGAGGGUCAGGGCAAACCGGCGGGCUUGAGGCCGGUAGAGGUGGGUGGAACUCCUGGUGGAGUGGUGAAAUGCGUAGAGAUCAGGAAGAACACCCGUGGCGAAGGCGGCCCACUGGGCCGGACCUGACGCUGAGGCGCGAAGGCGUGGGGAGCGAACGGG